rnacentral:rRNA from 1 species
UCUGGUACCUUCGGUGCCCGAGUUGUAAUUUGGAGAGGGCAACUUUGGGGCCGUUCCUUGUCUAUGUUCCUUGGAACAGGACGUCAUAGAGGGUGAGAAUCCCGUGUGGCGAGGAGUGCGGUUCUUUGUAAAGUGCCUUCGAAGAGUCGAGUUGUUUGGGAAUGCAGCUCUAAGUGGGUGGUAAAUUCCAUCUAAAGCUAAAUAUUGGCGAGAGACCGAUAGCSAACAAGUACAGUGAUGGAAAGAUGAAAAGAACUUUGAAAAGAGAGUGAAAAAGUACGUGAAAUUGUUGAAAGGGAAGGGCAUUUGAUCAGACAUGGUGUUUUGUGCCCUCUGCUCCUUGUGGGUAGGGGAAUCUCGCAUUUCACUGGGCCAGCAUCAGUUUUGGUGGCAGGAUAAAUCCAUAGGAAUGUAGCUUGCCUCGGUAAGUAUUAUAGCCUGUGGGAAUACUGCCAGCUGGGACUGAGGACUGCGACGUAAGUCAAGGAUGCUGGCAUAAUGGUUAUAUGCCGCCCGUCUUGAAACACGGACCA